CCUACGGGAGGCAGCAGUGAGGAAUUUUCCGCAAUGGGCGAAAGCCUGACGGAGCAAUACCGCGUGAGGGAUGAAGGAUUUUGGUCUGUAAACCUCUUUUCUCAAGAAAGAAGUUCUGACGGUACUUGAGGAAUAAGCAUCGGCUAACUCCGUGCCAGCAGCCGCGGUAAUACGGGGGAUGCAAGCGUUAUCCGGAAUGAUUGGGCGUAAAGCGCCUGUAGGUUGUUUAUUAAGUCCGUUGUUAAAGCCUAGGGCUCAACCCUAGAAAAGCAAUGGAAACUAGUAGACUAGAGUAUGGCAAGGGUAGAGGGAAUUUCUAGUGUAGCGGUGAAAUGCGUAGAUAUUAGAAAGAACACCGGUGGCGAAAGCGCUCUACUGGACCAUUACUGACACUCAGAGGCGAAAGCUAGGGUAGCAAAAGGGAUUAGAUACCCCUGUAGUCCUAGCCGUAAACGAUGGAUACUAGAUGUUGUGCAUAUGUACAGUAUACGUAGUACUACGUACGUUAACGUACCCGUACCGUCGGGUAGGUACGUCGUCGCGAGGUAGGAACGUACAAAGGAAGUUAGUACGGCGUGAGACGUGCCGAACGGACGACACGAGGGAGGUAGG
rnacentral:rRNA from 1 species